GAUGAACGCUGGCGGCGUGCCUAAUACAUGCAAGUCGAGCGAACAGACGAGGAGCUUGCUCCCCUGACGUUAGCGGCGGACGGGUGAGUAACACGUGGAUAACCUACCUAUAAGACUGGGAUAACUUCGGGAAACCGGAGCUAAUACCGGAUAACAUGUUGAACCGCAUGGUUCAACAGUGAAAGACGGUCUUGCUGUCACUUAUAGAUGGAUCCGCGCCGCAUUAGCUAGUUGGUAAGGUAACGGCUUACCAAGGCAACGAUGCGUAGCCGACCUGAGAGGGUGAUCGGCCACACUGGAACUGAGACACGGUCCAGACUCCUACGGGAGGCAGCAGUGGGGAAUCUUCCGCAAUGGGCGAAAGCCUGACGGAGCAACGCCGCGUGAGUGAAGAAGGUCUUCGGAUCGUAAAACUCUGUUAUUAGGGAAGAACAAAUGUGUAAGUAACUAUGCACGUCUUGACGGUACCUAAUCAGAAAGCCACGGCUAACUACGUG
rnacentral:rRNA from 1 species